AUUACAUAGUGGAACAAUUGCACUAUUUCAUUGGCAUCAACAAAAUGUGUUGAUAGGUAUAAUUUUUGGCACAAUAAGGACAUAAAUUGCAUAAAGAAUUCACCCGGGAUAGAAGUUUCAGGGACUCUGCUGCUUUUAAUUGAAUUGCUAUUUGUUCUAGGUGGCACCCUAUUUCACACUACUCACCUCCUCCUCCCUGAGUGACUCAGCCAUUGAGGGAGAAGCCUCUAAACUAUUCAUUAAAACAGUCAGAUAGAGGUUGAUUCCACCUCCAGUCAUCUUUAGCUACACCUCAGUUUCAGGUUGGGGAACCACUCCAGACCAUCUACCUACGAAGCCCUGGCUCUCUGCUAAAAGGAGGUGUAGAAAUCAAAAUUGUCUUCUUUUUCCUUCCAUAUUUGUGGUCUAUCCUGCAGGUAUGGCAUUUUUGGGUUGAUAUUUACUAUAUUUUAUAUGUAAUAUAUAUUAUAUAUAUUUUACUAU
rnacentral:lncRNA from 1 species